rnacentral:rRNA from 1 species
AUUGAACGCUGGCGGCAUGCCUUACACAUGCAAGUCGAACGGUAACGGGCCUUCGGGUGCCGACGAGUGGCGAACGGGCGAGUAAUGUAUCGGAACGUACCUUUCAGUGGGGGAUAACGUAGCGAAAGUUACGCUAAUACCGCAUAUUCUGUGAGCAGGAAAGCAGGGGAUCGCAAGACCUUGCGCUGAUUGAGCGGCCGAUAUCAGAUUAGCUAGUUGGUGAGGUAAAGGCUCACCAAGGCGACGAUCUGUAGCGGGUCUGAGAGGAUGAUCCGCCACACUGGAACUGGGACACGGUCCAGACUCCUACGGGAGGCAGCAGUGGGGAAUUUUGGACAAUGGGGGCAACCCUGAUCCAGCCAUGCCGCGUGAGUGAAGAAGGCCUUCGGGUUGUAAAGCUCUUUCGGCCGGGAAGAAAUCGUAUGGGUUAAUACCCUGUGCGGAUGACGGUACCGGCAUAAGAAGCACCGGCUAACUACGUGCCAGCAGCCGCAGUAAUAC